rnacentral:rRNA from 1 species
CCUACGGGAGGCAGCAGUAGGGAAUAUUGCUCAAUGGGGGAAACCCUGAAGCAGCAACGCCGCGUGGAGGAUGAAGGUUUUCGGAUUGUAAACUCCUUUUGUUAGAGAAGAUAAUGACGGUAUCUAACGAAUAAGCACCGGCUAACUCCGUGCCAGCAGCCGCGGUAAUACGGAGGGUGCAAGCGUUACUCGGAAUCACUGGGCGUAAAGAGCGCGUAGGCGGGAUAGCAAGUCAGAUGUGAAAUCCUAUGGCUUAACCCUAGAACUGCAUUUGAAACUGUUAUUCUAGAGUAUGGGAGAGGUAGGUGGAAUGCUUGGUGUAGGGGUAAAAUGCGUAGAGAUCAAGAGGAAUACUCAUUGCGAAGGCGACCUGCUAGAACAUAACUGACGCUGAUGCGCGAAAGCGUGGGGAGCAAACAGGAUUAGAUACCCGGGUAGUC